rnacentral:rRNA from 1 species
CCUACGGGUGGCAGCAGUGGGGGAUAUUGCACAAUGGGGGAAACCCUGAUGCAGCGACGCCGCGUGAGGGAAGACGGUUUUCGGAUUGUAAACCUCUGUCUUUGGGGACGAAUUGAGACGGUACCCAAGGAGGAAGCUCCGGCUAACUACGUGCCAGCAGCCGCGGUAAUACGUAGGGAGCAAGCGUUGUCCGGAAUUACUGGGUGUAAAGGGAGCGUAGGCGGGAUAGUAAGUUGAUUGUUAAAACUAUCGGCUCAACUGGUAGAUGCGAUCAAAACUGCAAUUCUUGAGUGAAGUAGAGGCAGGCGGAAUUCCUAGUGUAGCGGUGAAAUGCGUAGAUAUAAGGAAGAACACCAGUGGCGAAGGCGGAUGACUGGACGGCAACUGACGGUGAGGCGCGAAAGCGUGGGGAGCAAACAGGAUUAGAUACCCUUGUAGUC